CACGCCGUAAACGAUGAUCACUCGCUGUUAGCGAUACACUGUUAGCGGCUAAGCAAAAGCAUUAAGUGAUCCACCUGGGGAGUACGGCCGCAAGGCUGAAACUCAAAGGAAUUGACGGGGGCCCGCACAAGCGGAGGAACAUGUGGUUUAAUUCGAUGAUACGCGAGGAACCUUACCUGGGCUUAAAUGUAGAGUGCAUUGGUGUGAAAGCAUCAUUUUCUUCGGAACUCUCUGCAAGGUGCUGCAUGGUUGUCGUCAGCUCGUGCCGUGAGGUGUCGGGUUAAGUCCCAUAACGAGCGCAACCCUUAUCGUUAGUUGCCAGCGGGUAAUGCCGGGAACUCUAACGAAACUGCCGGUGUAAACCGU
rnacentral:rRNA from 1 species